UACGGGGGGAGCAAGCGUUGUUCGGAUUUACUGGGCGUAAAGGGCGCGUAGGCGGCCUCUGCAAGUCGACUGUGAAAUCUCCGGGCUUAACCCGGAAAGGUCAGCCGAUACUGCAGGGCUAGAGUGCAGAAGGGGCAACUGGAAUUCUCGGUGUAGCGGUGAAAUGCGUAGAGAUCGGGAGGAACAUCAGUGGCGAAGGCGGCCAUCUGGGACAACACUGACGCUGAGGCACGAAAGCGUGGGGAGCAAACAGG
rnacentral:rRNA from 1 species